UUGAAACCCAUAUUUCUGUUCGCUCUUUUACGAUUUCGAAGUCGAGUAUGUAAAAAAAUUCGGGGGAUUCAACACGAUUUGGGGAUUAAACACUAAUUGGGGACUGAACAUUGUUUUAGAAGAGGGGAUAUGGAGUGUUUAGGGAGGAGAACACUGAUUAGGGGAAUUUUUUGGAAUUUCUUCUUCUUUCAAUAAGAAUAUACUGUUUCGGCUGAUACCGAAGUUUUCGAUUCGAAAAAAUCUUUUCGAGUUCGAGCUCGUCGUGUUCGAGUAGAUUCGAGGCCGUCGAUACCCAGUUCACUGUACCCAAAACAGGCCAAAGCCCAACGGAAUCCUCUUCUCGAGACAACCUGCAACAAUAUAUGAAUAAAAUUUGCUGGGCCGAAGCCCAACAGUAGCAGAACAACGACAGUCCUCAAUGGGCUGAACCCAUUUAAAUCAUUUCACUCCUCUUUUUUUUUUUUUUUUUUUUUUUACUUUGUGCAUUUAAUUUGUACUGUAUGACUAACACUUUACUUGUUUUAUUUGCUUAGAUUAGGUGAACCUUAGCGGUACUAGUGGGUUUGAUUUUAGCAAAAUGGGUAGGAAGAAACAAUAAUUAAUUCCUUAGUUUCAUUUUCUUCUUUCAUAUUAAA